rnacentral:rRNA from 2 species
AACUCUAAGCAAUCGAUCACUCGCCUCAUGUGUCGAUAAAGAACGUAGCAAACUGUGCGUCAUGGUGUGAACUGCAGAACACAUGAAUAUCGACAUUUUGAACGCAUAUCGCAGUCCAUGCUGUAAGGUACUACAUAUAAUAGAGGGAUG